UGGCCCAGCUCAAGUCUGGAGACCUUCCUGAGUAUGCCGGACACAUGGCCCAUGAUGCCCAGGACUGAAGGCCAGAGGCUCUUUUAAAGAAACAGACACGAUUCUAAAGUUCAAAUGGAAAUACGGAGGAGCCAGAAUUGCCCAAUCUUGUUAAAAAGAAAAAGGACAAAAUUAGAGGAUUUACAGAAUCUGCUUUAGGGAAUUAUUGUGCAACUACAGUGAUCAGGACGUUUCUAUGUCUGCAUAAACACAGACACACAGAUCAGUAGAACGUCACAGAGAAUGUGGAGGUGCGCCAGCCCACGCAGUGACAGUCCCUUGUCCACCAAGGCUCCUGGUCCACGGGUUGGGUAAGUGCAGGUCUUUUUAACUAACGAUGCUCCGUCAAUGGACAAGAAGCAGGGAGAAAGGUGAACCUGAGUCACUUCCUCACGGCAUAUACAAAUACUGAGAAGCUACAUAAAACUGAAUGUGGAACUUCCGGAAAAAAACUUACACCUCUGGAGGAGGCAAAAUGUAUUUAGACAGGACACAAAAAGCAUUAACCAUAAAAGAAAAAACAUUUUAUCAGAAUUAAAAUAUCAACGUCUCAAAAACACCAUUAGGAGAAUAAAUGGGCAAGUUACAGACUAAAAACUGCAUUUGUAGUUCUUAUAUUUGAUCAAGACUUAAAUGUAGAAUAUAUAAAAAUUCAUAUAAAUCAACAACAAAAGAUGAAGAGCCCAGGAGAAAUUAACAAAAGACAUGCGCACACACAUUGAUGAAAGAAGGUAUGUAGACAGCCAACACACACGAAAACAUGGAAAGGAGCCCCACCUUGCCAGUCGCCGAGGGACACAGAUGAAAACAACGGACAUCGCUCACGUCCUCUGAAUCGACUACAGUUUAGCCAGGAAGUACCAAACUGGCUACCGUUUAGCUAGCCAGAAAGCCCGGCAGCGCCAGUGUCCAUGAGGGUGUCCAGUGACCAAAACGUGCAAGUGUCCAAGUCGUGCUGACCCCACUGGAGGUGGUUAGGCCACUUCCUGCAGCGGUAAACACACACCGACCGUGAGCCGGGAAUCCCACCCUCUCCAAUUCACAAAACGUGGAUGAAAACGUACCUUCACAAAAGGCUUCUGGAAGAACGUUUCUAGUGUCUUACUUGUAACAGCCCUAAAUGAGCAGCAAGCAAAGCCUACUGGGCCAUCUCAACACCUGAUAAAUGAGCUGGAGAGUGGGCAGACGAGGUCUAUUCACACAACGGUACGACCCAAAGCAAGAAAGCGAAAGCAAAAUACUUCGUGCACACGUGGACAUUGAUCUGAGGGGAUACACGGGAGGAGAAUUGCUGGGCACGGGGUGUGUGAAAGUCCCUCUUUAUAAGAAAACGACAAACCCUUCCCAGAGCGGUUGUACUGAGCACCCCCCGCCAGCCAGGAGGCCGCUGCUGCUCCACGUCGCACUCUGAGCUCGUGGGACUGGUACUGUUCCACCACCCUCAAUGACUGCACGUCCCUCC